GGGAGGCGUGGAGCGCCCGGCCUGCAGGCACUGGGCGGCGCCCUCCCGCCUCCUCUUCUCCCGCCGGGUGCCUGGUGGCUUGGCCUCCCCUCCAGAGCUUCGCAUAUCCUGGCGGGAGCCGGCGCUCUCUCCAUACUUAGGACUUGACCCUUCUUCCACACCCGGGCAGGGAAUCAUUUGCCCAAUCCGAAUUUGAUUUUCUGCUUGUGAGAGGAGAAACCGUUGACAGUGUCGCAUGGACAGUGUCGGGGAAGCCGAGACGUAGACCUGGAAGCCUAUACCAGAGGCCUUGUGGACAGCUUUGGAGCAUGCAUCUUAAGGCACACCACCGGUUUCUGCUGCUUUGGCACAGCCACGCAGCAUCUAGGAUGCUUCUCUGCACGCAGCAGAGGCCUAAUCCGUGCACCCUCUGACAGUGUUGGAGGGAGCUGGGGAGCAGCAUCAGAUUAACAGCCCCUGGGCUAUUUGUAUGACGUGCAGAUUUCACCCUCUCAUUCUUAAAGGGUGAAAGGCUCCAAUUCAGAAAGGCGAAGAUGGGGCCCAGGAAUCUGCAGUCUGCGUAGGUUUUUGUUUUUUGUUUUUUGUUUUUUUUUGAUGGAGUCUUGCUCUGUCACUCAGGUUGGGGUGCAGUGGCGCGAUCUAUGCUCACCGCAACCUCUGUCUUCCAGGUUCAAGCGAUUGUCCUGCCUCAGCCUUCCGAGUAGUUGGGACUACAGGUGCACGACACCACACCUGGCUAAUUUUUGUAUUUGUAGUAGAGACGGGGUUUCACCAUGUUGGCCAGGCUGGUCUUGAACUCCUGACAUCAAGUGAUACGCCCACCUUGGCCUCCCAACGUGCUGGGAUUACAGGCACGAGCCACCGCGCCUGGCCAGAGUUUGCAUUUUGUUGUUGUUGUUGUUUGUUUGUUUGAGACGGAGUCUCGCUCUGUGGCCCAGGCUGGAGUGCAGUGGCGCCGUCUCGGCUCACUGCAACCUCUGCUUCCCAGGUUCGAGAGAUUCUCCUGCCUCAAUCUCCCAAGUAGCGGGGAUUAACAGGCGUGCACCACCAUGCCUGGCUAAUUUUUUUAUUCUUAGUAGAGACAGGGUUUCUCAUGUUGGGCAGGCUGGUCUCAAGCUCCUGAUCUGCCCGCCUUGGCCUCCCAGAGUGCUGGGAUUACAGGUGUGAGCCACCGCGCCUGGCCUGUUUUGUUUUCUUAAAUCCAGAAGUUCUGAUUCAAGCCUAAACCUGCCACUUCCAUUCCCAAUCCUCUGAGCUUCAUGAGCUCCAGACACAGGGCUGUUAAUCACAAUUUCUUUAAUUCUUUAUAUCUCUUGUGGAAUUAGAGGGGUAGAUGUUCUUUUUGGGAAAAACAUUAGAAAAUGCCUACAUGUCUUUAUUGAAAGAACUUAAAAACAACGUAUUUCUCUAGGGUUUAUUUUCCCUCACGGCUCUCAACCUUCUUAAAAAUAUAAGGUUGGUGGAUUAAUUAUACUGAAAGUCUUCAGUUGGAUAUUUUAUUAUUGUAUUUUUAAAGUCGUGUUUUGUAAUUGCCCUGACAAUGUAAGGAAUGAUAUUUGUGAGGGUGAGUCAACAACACCUUCCCUGUUGGUGUCUGCCCUCUAAUAACCCCACGGGCUGGAUCCCCAGCACCUGGAAGGAGGCAUCAUGGAACGUUAAUAAGGAGGAAGGCUGGUGCUGGCGCCUGGAACACUUCAGAGACAGAAAGCAGUGACUAGGCCAGACAGGCCCGUUGUUUUUGCGCUUUGAGAGAGAAGUGAGAAAUGGAAAAUAGUCUCUUUAUCUUCUCAGCAAAUACAGCCUAUGCUCAGAAUUUCUCCGACUUCCUAUCUCUGAGAUGCCAGAUGCCCAGUUCCAUGGAAUUAUGGCAAGCGAGAAACUGUCAUUCAUAAGAGUUCAAGAAAAUGAAUGUUCUCUCAACUCUGUGACGGCCAGUGGGUUCCAGGCGAGAUGAGACAACUUGGUGAGGGCCGUAACUGAGCUCCCAAUGCAUUUAGAAGCCUCUGGAUGGCUGGGGGGUGCAUUCCAGCCGUGCUGGAAAAAUUAUAUUUUGAAGUUAAAUCUGGUAGUGUUUUUUCCAAUAUUGAAUAGGCCUCAGGAAAGAGAUAAUACAUUUCCUUCUUUGUUCAGAGGGUGCUCAACUUGCUGGAGUCAUCUCUGCUAUGGCUUUAUUUGCCAACAACAGAGAACUUGCUCUGCAGCAGCCCCAGGCUCUCUGGGGACCCCACAGGCUGUGCAGAUCCCCCAUCCCAGAACCACAGAAGGAGACGGAGCAGAAGCACACCCUGUCUUCCAGGCCCAGGACAGCUGCUGAGCUCCAGGACACGGACUCUUGAAGGUUGAUUUUAACUACCUACUAAGCUCCACCUGAACCAGUUCCACUUCUUUAACCUUCUUGUGAUCCCUGUGAGGGGUCUGUGGUAUUGCUAUUUGCAAGUAAAGAAAGUGAGAUUGAGGGAGGCUGAAAGACUUGGCCCCAAGUCACAAUGCGCCGCUGAAUGUGGUGCUGCCUACUGGAUAUCCUGGGUGCUUCAACAUCAACAGCUCUUGGCAAGUGAGUACACCAUGAAGGAUGGACGAGGGACACGGGGGAGCAAGCCCAGCUGCACGGUUCCGGCUCUUUCCGCCACAUCACAGCUUCUGCAGUUGGGAAGCCAGAACAGUGAUCUUCAGUUUGUUCAUCAAAGGGCCAAGAAAUCUGUGUCCUCACCUUCUCUGCUUCAAUUCUGGUGCUGCUUAAGCCGAUUAUCAUUUCAUGCCCUAAACCAAAAAAUAAACUCUACAAACAUCAACAUUACAUAGGACAGGAUCUGGCCCACAGAUUGGGGGCAGGAGCUGCUUUUUCAAUGAGAAGAAUGAACAGACCUAGUAGGCAUUGCCUUUAUACCCAGGAUGUAAAAGGUAAUGCCAGCAGACGGUGGCAGUGCUGGAGGCGCCUGGUGGGCAGAGGUUACCUGGCUGGAGUGGCAAGCGUGAGGAGAUGCCUCCCAGCAUAAGGAAUGUGGGCUUCUGUUGGAUCUCUUGUUCCAGGCCCCACACAUGUUCGAGGCAGCCUGGGUAUGUCUUGGCCUGCUCAAUCCCUCAAAGCCCUGUUUAAUUCUCAUCUUGCUGUCACCUAUGUAGUGCCAAGAAACAAGUCACCAAAAUAAUGAAAUGCUGACCUAAGCUUAAAAACAAAACCAUGAGGUCUUUCUAAAUAAAUUAUGAAAAAGCGCAAACUGCAGCUCCCUGUAAUGAUUUCAAAGACUCCGUUCCAAGAAUGCAUUAAUUUAAAAAGGGAGUAUAAGGCAAAGGGGGGUGAUUAGAAGAGGAAGGCAGCUGACAUCAAACUGAAUAUACCAAGUUUCCUCCUCAAAAACAAGUGUGCAUUAUUUGUGGUGACCAUUCUUGGUAUUGUUCUAUUGCUGUAAAACACAGCAUAGCAUCAUUCUUUUAGAUGCCAUUCAUUUCAUAUAUGGGUAAAUGUACAUGGUUAGGCUAGACUGGAGUGCUUGUCUACACUGCUUAAAAGAAAAGAUUUACUAAGAAAAUUCGAAGGACAAACAAGAGUGCAAAGGGAAUGUUAGGUUUAAUUAAGAAAUCAGCUCUUUAAAGGGCUUAACCAGAAUAAUUGUUGGUAUGCAAGUGGGGUUGUGAAUUAUAAAUGAAUCAUCCGUUCUUUGAAGGAUGAUCUCUUCUUGGAAAGACUUGGGGAGCAUUUUAAGUUGUUGAAGGCCAGGUGUGGUGGCUCAUGCCUGUAAUCGCAGCACUUUGGGAGGCCAAGGUGGGUGGAUCACCUGAGGUCAGGAGUUCGAGACCAGCCUGACCGACGUGGUGAAACCCCAUCUCUACUAAAAAUACAAAAAUUAGCUGGACGUGGUGGCAUGUGCCUGUAAUCCCAGCUGCUUAGGAGGCUGAGGCAGGAGAAUCACUUGAACCUGGGAGGCAGAGGUUGCAGUGAGCCAAGAUCGUGCCAUUGCCCUCCAGCCUAGGUGGCAGAUAAUAAUAAUCUGAGUCGUUUUAAGCCGGUAACAUUUGUUAGGUGUUUAUUACAUGCUAGUUCCUCAGUUCCAAGUAUUUAGUCUUCACAACAGGCCUAUGAUUAUGACCAUUUUAUAGAGGAGGAAAAUGAAGGCCUCUAAGUAUCUUGCCUGAAUUACCUAGCUAAAUGCUAGGAAAGCAAAGACAGGUACAACAGGCUGUCUGCCUUUAAGAAGUUUACUACCUUGUAUUUUUUAAUGUAAAUUCUCUAAUAAGUUCAGGCCAGCUUCCUCUUCCAGCUCAUGUGAAUUUGGUGAAUUUCAAUAAAAUAAAACAAUAUGAAAAACAUUUCUAUGCAAUUAACUGUUAAUUAUUAUUAAUUAUAAUAGGAAUGAGGGGGAAAGCUGUCUUAUAGAAUAUUGAGUCCGCACUUGAGAGUCAAUUGCCUGAAGAACAUUCUUAUUUCCAGUUUGUAGCAUGGUCUUUUUACGCCUGAACAAUGACAAAAAGAGUGAUGAUUUUGUAACAAAACCUCAGGGACGCUAUUAACAAGUUGGCAUUUCUAAUUCGUGUGGAAAUGCUAUUUUAUUUAUCAGAGAAUUGUAGCAGUGGUGUUCAUUUAAUUAAGAAUCUGAUGUUGCGUAAGGGCAAUUGAGUGAAAUUUAUAAUAUCGUAGACAGACAUGUAUGCAAACACAAAAGAAAACUGGUUAAGGAUCUAAGUGCCAGCUUAUUUUCCCUUGAACAGCCCAUUUUUACAUGAUUUGUGAGCUGUUUCAUAAAGGAAUCAUGCAAGUAUAUUUUAUCCUUUUAAAGAUAUUUUACAGUAAACUCAUCUAACUAGUAAUUGUACAAGGCUCAUAAAUAGUCAAAAAGAAAAGUGCCUGUAACUUUUGACAAUAUUGAAGGUGACUAUCUCUGUAUUAGAAGGCAGUUUAGGAUCUAGUAGCUUUCCCAACUGCAAGUAAAGUAAUGGCAUAUUCUAAAUUAUAUGAACAACAUCAUAAAACCAAAAAGGUAAAGAAAAUAGGUUUGAAUGAGAAAGUAUUCUGAGAAAGGUGGAGAAUGGGUGUCAGAUAUGGAUUGGAAGGAGACAAGAGAUUGGAAAGGUGACAGAAGAGAGCCCCCACUACUAUUGGUGGCUACUGCCUGCACCUUCACCAGGAAGUGUUGCUCACCUGUCCAAGCCACAAAUUCUGGUCAUCUUGUAGAUCCAAGUGCCUCCAGGUGAAUGUGCCACUUCCAAGGCCCAGCCUUCCUAAGCCACCUCACCUCAAGGUCUGGAUACAUUUGUUCACAGUAUGCACUUUUUGAGUGCUAAUUAUGUGCCAGGCACUGGGCCGGGUCCUGGGGACACACCCAGGAACAAGGAGAGCAGGUACCUGGCCUCUUGGAGCUGACACUCUAGUCAGAGGAGACAGUCUGGAAACACAUAAAUAAAUAAUUGCAAGAGUUGCAGAUGGCAAUUUGCGCUGAGAAAAUAAAGCAAGGUAAAGAGAUUAAGUGUGAGAGAAGAAAAGGGGCUGUUUAAAGAGGUGGUUAGGGAAGGCCUCUCUGAGGUCAGGACAUCUGAGCAGGGAAGGAGCCAGCGAUGGGAAGCACCAGGGGCGGGGGGAGGACACUCCAGACAGAGCAAGUACAAAGGCCCUGGGGCAGGAAGGACCCUGAUGUGCUGGAUGAGGAGCAAGAGGGUGCCAAUAUCGCUGAGCUGGAGAAGAGGAAGAAAAGUGGGAGAGGAAGAUGAAGAAGUCACAGAGGUCAGGCCAUGUGGGCCUUUUAGGCAGGGCCAAAUGCUUGGAUUCUCUUCCAAGGAGAAUGGGAAGUCGUUGGAAGAUCUUAAGUAGGGACAUGAUAAGACUGAUUUAUACUUUCCAAUUAUUACUCUGACUCUCUCUGGGGACCAGAUUAUAGGAAGAUGAUAAUAAGGUGAGUGAAAAGAGUGACCAGUUGUGGCAUCCGCCUCCUUCCACAGAGGUGAGUACAGGCUGAAGUCUUGUCCUUAAGAUGCUUCUGUGGAAGUUACAGGGAGCUGACCCUGGCCUUGGAACUAACUGUGGUGGGAUCAGAGAGGGGGGAAGCAGAGAUGGUGCAAGCUUUGGCCCAAAGAUCAGAAGCAGAAAGGACUCUGUGCCUCUGGCAAAAGGACAACUCCAUGUUUUCUGUGCAAACAUCCAAGUUACCAUUUCCCCAGGUGACACUGCAGCUGUGGGGCCUGUGAACAGGACAACAGCUAACCAUUCUGAAUUAAAAAAAUCAAGGACAGUACCCUCAUGUUUAUAAUAUAGGGGUCAAAGCAAAAUCCAUUGACAAGCAUUUCCUUUAAAAUACAGGGAAGGAAGAUUCCAUUGUCUACAAAUUCUAAUGGAAAUUAAUAAA